AUUGAACGCUGGCGGCAGGCCUAACACAUGCAAGUCGAACGAGUGGCGUACGGGUGAGUAAUGUCUGGGAAACUGCCCGAUGGAGGGGUAUAACUACUGGAAACGGUAGCUAAUACCGCAUACCAUCGGAUGUGCCCAGAUGGGAUUAGCUAGUAGGUGGGGUAACGGCUCACCUAGGCGACGAUCCCUAGCUGGUCUGAGAGGAUGACCAGCAACACUGGAACUGAGAAACGGUCCAGACUCCUACGUGAGGCAGCAGGGGGGAAUAUUGCACAAGGGGCGCAAGCCUGAUGCAGCCAGGCCGCGUGUAUGAAGAAGGCCUUCGGGUUGUAAAGUACUUUCAGCGAGGAGGCGUUACCCGCAGAAGAAGCACCGGCUAACUCCGUGCCAGCAGCCGCGGUAAUAC
rnacentral:rRNA from 1 species